rnacentral:rRNA from 1 species
GCGAAGUCGCGAGGCUAAGCUAAUCUCUUAAAGCUUCUCUCAGUUCGGAUUGCAGGCUGCAACUCGCCUGCAUGAAGCCGGAAUCGCUAGUAAUCGCGGAUCAGCACGCCGCGGUGAAUACGUUCCCGGGCCUUGUACACACCGCCCGUCACACCACGAGAGUUUGUAACACCCGAAGUCGGUGAGGUAACCUUUUGGAGCCAGACGCCUAAGGUGGGAUAGAUGAUUGGGGUGAAGUCGUAACAAGGUAGCCGUAUCGGAAGGUGCGGCUGGAUCACCUCCUUU